rnacentral:rRNA from 1 species
GUGGGGGAUAUUGCACAAUGGAGGAAACUCUGAUGCAGCGACGCCGCGUGAGUGAAGAAGUAUUUCGGUAUGUAAAGCUCUAUCAGCAGGGAAGAUAAUGACAGUACCUGACUAAGAAGCCCCGGCUAACUACGUGCCAGCAGUCGCGGUAAUACGUAGGGGGCAAGCGUUAUCCGGAUUUACUGGGUGUAAAGGGAGCGUAGACGGAAUGGCAAGUCUGAAGUGAAAUCCUGCGGCUUAACUGCAGAAUUGCUUUGGAAACUGUCAAUCUGGAGUGUUGGAGAGGUAAGCGGAAUUCCUGGUGUAGCGGUGAAAUGCGUAGAUAUCAGGAAGAACACCGGAGGCGAAGGCGGCUUACUGGACAAUAACUGACGUUGAGGCUCGAAAGCGUGGGAAGCAAACAGGAUUAGAAACCCCGGUAGUCC